rfam:Fibulorhizoctonia sp. CBS 109695 unplaced genomic scaffold FIBSPscaffold_9, whole genome shotgun sequence.
CCCUCGAUAGCUCAGUUGGAAGAGCGUGGGACUGUAAUUGGUUAACAUGUUCACUCUCUGAGUGUUGUAAUCCCGAGGUCGCUGGUUCGAUCCCGGCUCGAGGGA